AGUGAACGCUGGCGGUAGGCCCAACACAUGCAAGUCGAACGAGUGGCGGACGGGUGAGGAAUACAUCGGAAUCUACUCUGUCGCGGGGGAUAACGUAGGGAAACUUACGCUAAUACCGCAUACGAAUGAAGGAGCCGACGUCGGAUUAGCUAGUUGGCGGGGUAAAGGCCCACCAAGGAGACGAUCCGUAGCUGGUCUGAGAGGAGGAUCAGCCACAAUGGAACUGAGACACGGUCCAUACUCCUACGGGCGGCAGCACUGGGGAAUAUUGGACAAUGGACGCAAGCCUGAUCCAGCCAUACCACGUGUGUGAAGAAGGCCUUCGGGUUGUAAAGCCCUUUUGUUGCGAAAGCGGUACCCAAAGAAUAAGCACCGGCUAACUUCGUGCCAGCAGCCGCGGUAAUUC
rnacentral:rRNA from 1 species